rnacentral:misc_RNA from 1 species
GUACUUUGGAAAUCAUUUUAUAGAGAAUUAACAAAAUCUGAGUGAAAGUAUCAGUAGUUACUUUUAGUUUUAUCUUAGCCAGAAUAACUGCAUUUACAGUGCUUAGGUUGACCAAUCAAAUGCCAUGUUUACAUCAAAGAUUGCCAUUAUUCUUACUUAUUUGUGGAUGUUAUGAUGAGUAGUUAUCUAUCAGGAUUUGGAGCAGUGAAUGAUAACUAAAGGUAGCAUCAUCAGAGGAAUGAUUUGGAUAAGGAUUCCACAGGGUACCAUAAGAAUUGACUUGAUAAUUUUGUGUUCUCUGUUGUGAUUUGGUUUUGUCGUAAUAGUAUGACUUUUGAUGUAUGACACUAAACUGCCGCAGAAAUUCCUGUAUGAUGAUGCUUUGAUGAUGUUGAAUUCGAGUUUCUUAGCAAGAUCUUAUGUUUGCUGUCAUCUUGAAUAAUAUUGUUGUGAAAUCAUGG